UACGUAGGGUGCGAGCGUUAAUCGGAAUUACUGGGCGUAAAGCGUACGUAGGCGGUUAUUCAAGUCAGAGGUGAAAGCCCGGGGCUCAACCCCGGAACUGCCUUUGAAACUAGGUAGCUAGAAUCCUGGAGAGGUCAGUGGAAUUCCGAGUGUAGAGGUGAAAGUCGUAGAGAUGCGGAAGAACACCAGUGGCGAAGGCGACUGACUGGACAAGUAUUGACGCUGAGGUACGAAAGCGUGGGGAGCAAACAGG
rnacentral:rRNA from 1 species